CUCCUACGGAAGGCAGCAGUGAGGAAUAUUGGUCAAUGGACGAGAGUCUGAACCAGCCAAGUAGCGUGCAGGAUGACGGCCCUAUGGGUUGUAAACUGCUUUUAUAAGGGAAUAAAGUGAGCCUCGUGAGGCUUUUUGCAUGUACCUUAUGAAUAAGGACCGGCUAAUUCCGUGCCAGCAGCCGCGGUAAUACGGAAGGUCCGGGCGUUAUCCGGAUUUAUUGGGUUUAAAGGGAGCGUAGGCCGGAGAUUAAGCGUGUUGUGAAAUGUAGACGCUCAACGUCUGCACUGCAGCGCGAACUGGUUUUCUUGAAUACGCACAAAGUGGGCGGAAUUCGUGGUGUAGCGGUGAAAUGCUUAGAUAUCACGAAGAACUCCGAUUGCGAAGGCAGCUCACUGGAGCGCAACUGACGCUGAAGCUCGAAAGUGCGGGUAUCGAACAGGAUUAGAUACCCUGGUAGUCCGCACGGUAAACGAUGGAUGCCCGCUGUUGGUCUGAAUAGGUC
rnacentral:rRNA from 1 species